AUUGAACGCUGGCGGCGUGCUUAACACAUGCAAGUCGAUCGGUAACGCGGGGGCAACCCUGGCGACGAGAGGCGGACGGGUGAGGAACGCUUGGGAAUCUGCCUAUCAGCGGGGGACAACACGGGGAAACUCGUGCUAAUACCGCAUAAUCUCGAGAGAGAAAAGCUGCCCGCGAGGGUGGCGCUUUAAGAGGAGCCUGCGUCCGAUUAGCUAGUUGGUGAGGUAAAGGCUCACCAAGGCGAUGAUCGGUAACUGGUCUGAGAGGACGACCAGUCACACUGGGACUGAGACACGGCCCAGACUCCUACGGGAGGCAGCAGUGGGGAAUAUUGGACAAUGGGGGCAACCCUGAUCCAGCCAUGCCGCGUGAGUGAUGAAGGCCUUCGGGUUGUAAAGCUCUUUUGGCGGGGACGAUGAUGACGGUACCCGCAGAAUAAGCCCCGGCUAACUUCGUGCCAGCAGCCGCAGUAAGAC
rnacentral:rRNA from 1 species